ACAUUGGUGGGUCAGUGGUAGAAUUCUCGCCUGCCACGCGGGAGACCCGGGUCCGAUUCCCGGCCAAUGAA
rnacentral:tRNA from 1 species